UGCCGGUUGGGGUUCGAAGGGCGGAGCCCGAGCGCAAAAAAAUGGAAAAUGCAAAUCAAUUAGGCUGUUUGCUUUCAAACCGUCCAUUCUAUCUUUAGCAAUUACUUGUUCAUUAAAUGUAAUUUCGUUAGGUCUACACAGAAACAACAGUUGUUUAUAGCCACAGAGCGUUUUAACAAGAAUUCAUGAAUGCCAGGAUGGAAAGUCUGAUUUGUAGGCAAUGCGUUGACAAUCUCUUGAAGACACAAAAUGUGGUUUACAGAUUGUAUUUUUUAAACUAUAGUCCACCUCUUUAUACAUGUGUGGAUUCUAAACAACAUCAUAAAGUUAAAAACAUCGGCCUGUAACGUACCACCAAUUACAGCCCACUGGCCAAAAGAUGGUUGAAUCAAUGUUGUUUCCACUUCAUAUAAAAAAAACCCAACGUGAAUCAACGUGGAAAACUGAUUGGAUUUGGAGAAAGUCAUCAAGAUCAUCUGCUAGUGGAGACCAGACAGAUGGGCUAAAUAAGUAGAUUAAGUAAGAAAACUUUACUCAACAAAAAAGGGGGACAAGUCGGUCUGAGCGUCAGUCAGGCUCUUGAACGUCUACCUGCAUGUGAAACCGGAUCUUUAUUAUAUUAAGAACCCGGAACAGUCUGGGCUCUGACGUUAGCUACAUCCUCUACUGCUGACUGAUGGGUGGUGGAGAAGAACAGAACUAUAACUGACAGCUUUAAAAGCCUGACGAGUAUCAUCACUCUGUGUUUACUUAUUAAUGCUCUCAACAGUUAAGUAACUUUAACAGCAGAUUAAAUCAAAUCAAAUCAACAUUUUAUUGGUCACAUACAAGUGUUUAGCAGAUGUAGCUUGUUAAUGCAUUUUAAUCAUGUCAUUUUCGUUGCCAUUCUAAUUGUUUAAUUUUGUUUAAAUAAUGUAAAAGCUAAAGGCUAAUUACCUGCACCUGCUUCGCCUGUCUGGUUGUUUGCUGUUCAUAUUUCGUGUACAUUUUACUUGUGCUGUCCAGUCCUUCUUUUGAAAAGGCAAAAAUAAAAUGAUUAAAAGAUUUCAAAUAUAUAUUUUUUGAUAAACUAUAUAUAUGCAUUUCAUUUUCCAUGAGAC
rnacentral:lncRNA from 1 species